rnacentral:rRNA from 1 species
CCUACGGGAGGCAGCAGUGGGGAAUUUUGGACAAUGGGCGCAAGCCUGAUCCAGCCAUGCCGCGUGAGUGAAGAAGGCCUUCGGGUUGUAAAGCUCUUUCGGCCGGGAAGAAAUCGUGUUCUCUAACAUAGGACAUGGAUGACGGUACCGGACUAAGAAGCACCGGCUAACUACGUGCCAGCAGCCGCGGUAAU